rnacentral:rRNA from 1 species
UACGGGGGGGGCAAGCGUUGUUCGGAAUUACUGGGUGUAAAGGGCUCGUAGGUGGCCAACUAAGUCGGACGUGAAAUCCCUCGGCUUAACCGGGGAACUGCGUCUGAUACUGGAUGGCUUGAGAUUGGGAGAGGGAUGCGGAAUUCCAGGUGUAGCGGUGAAAUGCGUAGAUAUCUGGAGGAACACCGGUGGCGAAGGCGGCAUCCUGGACCAACACUGACACUGAGGAGCGAAAGCCAGGGGAGCAAACGGG